GGGACGGGUGAGUAACACGUGGAUAACCUACCUAUAAGACUGGGAUAACUUCGGGAAACCGGAGCUAAUACCGGAUAAUAUAUUGAACCGCAUGGUUCAAUAGUGAAAGACGGUUUUGCUGUCACUUAUAGAUGGAUCCGCGCCGCAUUAGCUAGUUGGUAAGGUAACGGCUUACCAAGGCAACGAUGCGUAGCCGACCUGAGAGGGUGAUCGGCCACACUGGAACUGAGACACGGCCCAG
rnacentral:rRNA from 1 species